rnacentral:lncRNA from 1 species
AGUGGAGGAGGCAUGAGUCUAUCCUUGUUGCACGACUCCCAGCUGUUCUCUGCAGACCAUGUUGACGAUGAUCAACAGGUCCAUUUCUCCAUUUCGGAUGGGGAGGCGGUGAACCUUCCUUACCGAGACCUGAUGGGAGCUCAGCUGCUGCAGGACAUGACAAGAUAGAGUCGAUCGAAAUGGAACUGUGAAGGGCUAUAUAGAGACAUACAUACCUAUCAGAUAAUUAAGCUUCAUACCUGCUUAGUUGCUUUGGCAAGUAGGUCAAUUAUUCUAUGCUUGUUUUGCUGCUCAGCAUCGAUCCAUUGUUAUGAUCCAUGCAUAGGUGCAUUCCUCAUUGAUGAAACAGCAGCCAUAUUUG